GGCUGCCACCGCUGAGCGGCGCGGAGGCUGCAGCGUUCCGUCUGCGGACAGAAAGCAGGCGUUGGGGACUGCUACUCGCAGCCUGCCAGGGGCAGCAGCCGCCCCAGGUUCAAGUGGCUAUGUGCCAGGAUACUCAGGCGCGGCUGGUGGCUGCCCGUGGGAGAGCCAGUGCUCUCCGCAGGUCCAAAGUGCAAGGCCGGGCUAUUCCCGGACUUGCCUAGGCGCAGGGGCCCCCAGCGCGUCCGGGAUUGCCCCGGCGCGUCGGGCGCGCGAACUUGUGCGCAAGGGAGAAGAGCGCUUACCAUGGAACAUGGUCUGCGGGAGGCGGGCGUAGUCAUGAUGACCGCAACUGGAGCAGGAGCAAGCUCUCACCGCCCAUAGUCACUCCCAGGACCCUGGUCUUCCGCGGAGUUGCCGAGUCUGUGUUGGGCAGGGUGAUCUCUGCAGCUGGCUCCUCUUACCCACGCCGCGACUGCAGUUUCAUCCAUCCCAGGGGGGGCGGCACACACCACGGCGUGGCUCUGCGCUUUGCCUUUUCCAUAACUUCCGUAGGAUCCGCCAGCAGUGUACUUUCAGUUUCUACUUUGCGCUUGGUCUGCAGGUUCAAUCUUUGGGAUCAUCAGCAUGGAAUCUUCAUUAUCCCCUCUCUCCUGGGCACCUGCUUCCCGCGCACCUGGAUGAGGACCAGAGGAGGGCGCGAAUUUCCGAAUCACCGCAGGAAAAACCAGCUGGCCUGAAUCAAAGCGAUUCUGGGUAAAAGACUUUCCAGAUGACCUCUCAACGCCUUGGCAACGCUUGGCUUCUGGGAGCUAGAACCAUGAGUUGUUAAUGUGUGCACGGAAGCCACAAGUGUGCAGGACGCAAGCUGGGUUAUUGGAAGCGGACGAUACCAAGGAGGCGUUGCCGCGGAUGUGGUGGACGAUGCCAAGUCGUCUUUUAAAAAGGGAAGUGAAGAAUGAUUAAGAGGGUCACGCCCUCUACCACUCCAACCUCUCUAAUCAGUCUCUUUCUGCUCCGUCUGCUGUACAUGCACCUGCUCAGGUGAGACCUCAAGGAAAAAUAAUCCUGUGGGUCCACCUAAUCUGACAACCACAGUUGCUAACAGUAUGAGUUCUGCAGUUAUACAGAACUAAGUCCAUUAGCUGUGUGACCCAUGGCCAAAUGUUUUCCUUCUCUGUGCCUGCAUUUCUUCAUCUGUAAACUGGAAUAAUGAUAGCAACUACUUCAGAGGACUAUGCUAGAGUGCAAUGGCACAAUCUUGGCUCACUGCAACCUCCACUUCCCAGGUUCAAGUGAUUCUCCUGCCUCAGUCUCCUGAGUAGCUGAUAUUACAGGUGUCUGCCACUACACCCAGGUGGAGUCUCACUCUGUUGCCCAGGCUGGAGUGCAGUGGCGCCAUCUCGGCUCACUGCAACCUCCAACUCCCAGGUUCACACCAUUCUCCUGUCUCAGCCUCCCGAGAAGCCGGGACUACAAGCACCUGCCGCCACACCCGGCUAAUUUUUUGUAUUUUUAGUAGAGACAGGGUUUCACCAUGUUAGCCAGGAUGGUCUCGAUCUCCUGACCUCAUGAUCUGCCCGCCUUGGCCUCCCAAAGUGUUGGGAUUACAGGCAUGAGCCACCGUGCCAGGUGGUUUUAUAAGGGAAUUUCCCCCCACUUUUUUCUGCACUUCUCCUUGCUGCUGCCAUGUGAAAAAGGAUGUGUUUGCUUCCCCUUCUGCCAUGAUUGUAAGUUUCCUGAGCCCUGUGUCCCAGCUGCUCCAGUGGUGACUAAAAGAGGCCAAGGUAUAGCUCAGGUCGUUGCUUCAGAGGGUGCAAGACCCAACUCUUGGGUUGGGUCUUGGCGUUGGUGUUCAUCCUGCAGAGGCCCAUAAGACAAGAAUUGAGGUUUGGGAACUUUCGCUUAGAUUUCAGAGGAUGCAUGGAAAUGCCUGGAUGUCCAGGGAGAAGUUUGGUGCAGGGGUGGAGUCCUCCUGGAGAACCCCUGCUAGAUCAGUGCAGAAGGGAAACGUGAGGUGGGAACCACCACACAGAGUCCCCACUUGGGCACUGCCUAGAGUGGCUGUAAGAAAAGGGUCACCAUUCUCCAGAACCCAGAAUGGUAGAUCCACAGACAGCUUGCACCCUGCACCUGGAAAAGCCACAGACACUCAAUGCCAGACAUGAAAAAACCCAAGAGUGGGGCUGUAUCCUGCAAAGCCACAGGGGCAGAGCUGCCCAAGGUUGUGGGAGCCCAUCUCUUGCAUCAGUCUAACCUGGAUGUGAGACAGGGAGUCAAAGGAGAUCAUUUUGGAACUUUGCAGUUUAAUGACUGCCCCGUUGAAUUUCAGACUGGCAUAGGUCCUGAACCCCCUUUGUUUUGGUCAGUUUCUCCCAUUUGGAAUGGGUGUAUUUUCUCAAUGCUUGUCCCCAUUAUAUAGCUAAAUUGCUUUUGAUUUUACAGGCUCCUAGGGACCUGAGAAAAGGGACUUGUCUUGUCUCAGAUGUGACUUUGGACUUGGACUUUUGAGUUCAUGCUAGAAUGAGUUAAUACCUGGGAGGACUGUUGGAAGGACAUGAUUGUGUUUUGAAUUUUGAGGACAUGAGUUUUGUGAUGGGCUGGGGUGGAAUAUGGUUUGGCUAUGUUGCCAGCCAAAUCUCAUCUUGAACUGUAGUUCCCAUAAUCCUCAGGUGUUAUAGGAGAAACCUGGUGGGAGGUAAGUGGAUCAUGGGGACGGUUACCUCCAUGCUGUUCUCAUAAUAGUGGGUGAGUUCUCAUGAGAUAUGAUGGUUUUUUAAGGUGCUUUUCUCCAACUUCACUCUGCACUUUUCCUUGCUGCCGCGAGGUAAGGAGGGAUGUGUUUGCUUCCCCUUCUGCCAUGAUUGCAAGUUUCCUGAGGCCUCCCCAGUCAUGCUAAACUGUGAGUCAAUUAAACUUCUUUCCUUUAUAAAUUACUCAGAUUUGGGUAUGUACUUAUUAGCAACGUGAGAAUGGACUAAUACAGGUCUUAGCUAUAGGAUGUGGGAGACAUCAUAAAGAAUCUCUUACAUUUAAAAAAUCUUAUUUCCCGCCAUGUGUAGUAGCGACCCAGCAUCCCCUUAAUAAUCAGGAUCUGUUAUCCCAGACAAUAGAUUAACUUCCUCUUUGUAUAUUGAUUAAGAAGGACAAGGAACCCAAACUGGGCAGGUAGUAGCCUCAACAUCCAUUUUGCUGCAAUCAUUGUUCUGUCUCCUGGUGGAAGUAUUUCCCCUUUUGGAACAAAGAUCUCUAGACCAUCAUAGGCUACAGUUGAGGAGACAUAAUGCAAAAAUAUAUCUGAGAGAUCAUUAAGGGUAAUAAUGCAUAGAGUUACUCCCAUUUCCACUCCUUAAUUUCUGGACAAAUAAACCCUGGCCGUAGGGAAAACAGCACCAUAUAAUGGAUGGUGAUGUAGAGCAUUAACACAUCCUAGAGGAAAGUGCCCCUAUCCUGACUCCUGCUAGGUAUUUCUAUUUAGCUGAAAGUGUAACUGAGUCUUCAAAAGACUGUCCAACAUUCUAUAAAGUCAGCUACUUCAAGACAAUUUGGAACAUAGGCUAGUGGAUUCCGUAAGCAUGAGAUCAUUGCCAUGUUUAAUCACUACAAAGUAAGUUCCUUGACCAGAGCUGUGUAUAAUACUGUGAUGGUGGAUAAGAUAUUCUCUAAGUCGACAGGUGCUAAUUUUGGCAGAAAUACUGUAUGCAAGGAAAGCAAGUCCAUGUUCAGAAGAAGUGUCUAUUCUAGUAAGAACAAUGUAUCUUCUAUGAUGAAAGCAGUUCUCUGUAAUCAAGCAACCAUCAGGUAGUUGGCUGUUAUCUUGGGGCAUGGUUCUAUUAUGAGGACUCAGUGUUGGUCUUUGCUGCUGGCAGAGUAUAGACUUAGGUCAGGAAAGCCCCAGUGAGUAUAAUUUCAUGUUUCUGAGCCUAUGCGUCAUCUCCAUUCCUGACAUCAUAGCCAAUUUGUUCAGAGCUCGUUAGUGGCUGGAGUGUCUGAAGAAAGAGAUGACUGGUAUCCAGACAUUUUUUCCUAUCCACUUGAUUAUUAAAAUCAUUCUCUGUUGACGUAAUCCUGUGUUGAAGAUUCAAAAGAGAUGCCAACAUGUUCACCCACUUUAUUCAUUUUGUGAGAUCUAUAUACAUACUGCUUUCCAAGACUUCUUUGUCACCAAUUUUUCCAAUUAUGUUUCUUCCAAGUUCCUAACCAUCCAUCCAAACCAUUAGCCUCACCCCAUUGAAUAAUACAGAGUCAUAUAUCUGACCAUUUCUCCUUCAAUGGAAAGUGAACAACGAGGUGAACUGCUCUAAGUUCUGCCCACUGAAAGAACUUUUCCUCACCACUGUCCUUCAAAAAUGUCCCAGAAAAGAGCUAGAGUGAUGGAGUUUUCUACUUUUGGCUGGUGCUGCAUGUUGUGCAGAACUAUCUGUAAACCAGGUCUGAGUUUUCACUUUCUCAGUUAACUGAUAAGAAACUCCCAAUGAGGCCAUUGGUGUGGGCUGAGAUUGAGAAGAUAAUGUGGCAGGAGUAGGGCCGUGGGCAUUUGUGUUACUUCCUUAUGUAACUUACUAUUGCCCGGAAAGCCACCUCAAGCCUCACAUAUACCACUUCCAUUGACUGGCACAGUACUGCUGUGCAUGCCUAACUUCCAUGCUUAGUAGAUUAGACAGCACCCAGUUCAUGAUAGAUAGCUCAGAUCACAUUAUAACUUGGUGGUCCAUGAUAAUAUAUUCGGUCCCUAUUAAGACCUGGGACCAAGCCAAAAACUGUUUCUCAAAAAUAGGAUACACCUCUCCUCAAAUAAUGUCAUUUUGUUAUAAUGUUGAUAAGAAAAAAAAAAUCGAUUCCCUUUCAGGCUACUGUCUGUGUGGAGUUUGCACAGUCUCCCCAUGUCUGUGUGGGUUUUCUUCAGGGACUCCUGUCUUCUCUCACAUCCCAAAGUUGUGCAUGUUAGGUGAAGUGGAGUGUUUAAAUCAUCCCCACUGGAGUGAGUGUGGGUGUGUGUGAGUGCACUCUGUGAUGGAUGGGGUCCUGCCCGGGUUGCACCCUGAGCUGCUGAGAUAGGCUCCAGCCACUUGUGACCCUGAACUGGAAUAAUUGGGUAAACAAUUAUCUUACUUGUUUUCAUUAACCUUUCUUAAAUAUGUGUGUAGCCCAUAUUUAUUUUAAUAUUUAAUAUUAGAAGUGUUUUCAUCUUUAUUUAAAAGUUGAGUGAUGUUUCUGUGACCAGAAAUAUGCAUAUUGCUUGAAGGUGCAGUUUUUGAGAAUCUAUAGAUCAGGUCAAGUGAGGACUUACUGUACAUAUCUGCAGAAAAUAGCAGAGUUUUACUCUAAAAUCCUGAGUCUGUGUUAUGAUUCACUUAUAAGAGGCUUCCAAAGACUCCAAAAAGCAUCUCUCUCUGACACUGACAUUUUAAAUGUCAUCAGAUCUUCCGGAUCAUGGCUUGCUGGUGACACAUGGCCCAAAUGUCAGAACAGCUUGCACAGCAGGCUAGACCUGAUGCAGAACCCUUUCUUGAUCUUGCUUCUACUCAAAACUAGCAGCUUUUCAGGUCUUUCAGUAAAUGGGCUGGAGUAGUACACACAAAAAGAACAAUGUGCUGCCUUGAAAAUCUAAAGAGGCCCCCUAUGCAAUGCGCUUCUUUUUUGGCUGUAGGAGGACCAAUCAGAUACAAAAAUCUUAUUUUUCACCUGAGAAGGAAUACUUUGACCUUCCUUUCACCAUUAGACCCUGGGAAUUAGUUGAUAUGGAAGACCUCUCAAUUUUUGUGAAAUAUAUUUCCCACCCUCUGAAACACAAGUGUCCAGAGCAGUUGCUAGUUUCUGGUUACCAGGUCCAAUCAGCAUAAUGUCAUCAAUGCAAUGGAACGGACUGAUUUUCUGCAGAAAGGGAAAUCAAUCAAGGUCCCAGCGGACUACAUGAUGAUAUAAGGCUGAAGAAUGGACAUAUCCUGUGAAUAGCUGUAUACCAAAUACCUGAGGAUGUGUUAAUUUGCCCAAGCGAUUAAACCACCUCUGGAACAGCAGCUGUAAUUAGAAUCACCACCUGAUUAAGUUGACAGUAAUCCACUGUCAUUCUCCAAGAUCCAUCUGUUUUGUGCACAGGCCAAAUAGAUGAAUUGAAUGUGGAUGUGGUGGGAAGUCACUAUGCUCACACGUUUUACGUCCUCCAGGAUUGCAGCAUUACUUUU